GAGAGAGAGAGAGAGAGAGAGAGAAACUUAUCAUAUGACACUGUGAUUAUUUUAUCGUCUAAGGAAAUGCUAUUAAACAUUUUCGUCGUUUUUCAGUAAUUUGCAGUGUAAUUGUAGGACAUGUGAUUUUAACUUUUAUUUGUAUCUUGUACACAUCCCUCAUAAACAGAGGAUGUUCAUAUUGUUUGAUUUAAUAUUUGCUCUCUCGAACGAAUCAAGAUGUGGUAUGUAUAUUUUGCGACCCUUUGCCGAUUGAAGAUGGGGAUCUUUUAGGCGAGUUAAAUAAAGCAAAGGUCAUAUUACGUAAAUCAUAAAUGUUCCAUUUUGUCCACUUGAUUUCAUUCCUACAUAUAUUUGUCGUCCCCUAAAAACCACACAAAUGUAUAUGUAAUGUCUUAUCGAUGAUACAUGUCCAAGCUGAGCGGCCAUAGUAACUUUAAGCAAUACAAUAUUUUAUAUUCUAAAGUAACUGUUUCAAACUGAGGCAUCAUUUACACAGAUAUUUACUCAUCUUUUCCGUCUUUAAUAAAUUCUUCUUCUGCUUCAUAAAUUUAUACGGUACAUUGAAGACUUUCAAAUAUAUCAUUAAGAUCAAAUUUUGGAUGCACAUUGAUUUAAACUUACUCAACAUCAAGCAGUUGUAAGAGCCGAAAAAUUAAAAUGUGAUGAAUUGGUAAUGAAACAUAAUAUUUGAAGAAAUGGUUCCAGUUACUUUGUUUCAAAAAGUUAUUAUUAUUAUUCACUAUGGAUCAAAAACAUCUUCAUUUAGAGUUAGUUGUGCAUUAAUUAUUGUAUAUUUGAGAGACGAUUAAGACGAUUAAGAAAUAUCAAAUUGAAAGUUACCGUUUGUAAUAUGAACGUAUAUAUACAUGUACUCUUAAUCAUAGUUUUUGUAACCUUACUUAUGUAUUUAUGAUUCAUAUCUAUACAAAUGAUUUAUAAACAAACACAAGGUCUUCAUUAAUUGACUAUGUUUUUUAAAAAAAUAUUUUCGGGGUUAACAAAAACCUGUUUAUGAUAUAAUAGACAACAAAACUUAUAUUGAUUUUUAUUUGGAUUAAACGAGCGAAUUUAUUGAAAUUCACGUGCAGUUAUUAAAUGUACGGGACAAUACCUUUACUUUUUAGGCGACUUUUGAUUUUACUCGAACUGUAACUUUUUGAUAAUUUUUUAUACACAUGAGUUUUGUAUGUUUUAUCACGUAUAUGCCACUUUCGAUAUUUUGAUCAAAAUAAAGACUAUAA
rnacentral:sRNA from 1 species